AAGGCCGGCUGACUGUCCCUGGUAGCCAGAGGUUUAGUCUUUUCAAUCUGCCUCUAUGGCUCCUAAAUUCGUUUUGUGUUAUAUUUAGGAUUUCUGGUACCCGUGAGAGCAAAGGCACUAUUAUUUUGCCUAAUAGCUAUGGCCUUCGCUUGCUUCCCCCCCCCCAGAGGAAAUUGAAGUGCUAUUGGUGUACAAUACUCUGAUUCUGCUUAGCCUGACUAUUUUUGGGGUUUUUCAGUAGCUCCAGACUGUGUGAUGGCCAAAAGCAUCAAUUUCAUCAGUACCGUAGGUCAAUAAUUGUAUUCCUGAACUCCCGUUACGCUUGUGUCUUCAGUGAAACUAUCUGAUUACUGUAUUUAGUCUCCCCCACCCCCUUUUUUAAAUUGUCUUUGAUUUGCCACAGGUCAGGCAUAACCAUCCUUUCCUAACUAAAAGGAGUCCAAAAUGACAGAACAUAAAUUAGGAUUCACACCUUUUCCGAUUUGCAUGGCAAUGCCACGGGGAGCCAUGUAAAGGGCAGAUAUUUAUAUCACAUUUAAUUCUUUGCCCUCUCUUCUCACUCCAAAUACCUAUGGCUUCAGAUCUUCUUCACUUACUCCUGGAUUCUCAUUAUGUCUCCAAAAUAAAGCUUCAUUUUUUAGGGUGCUUCCAUUGAGCAGGCUUCAUGUUGCCCUGAAUAAUUUGCUUCAAGCUAUUUAUUCUCAAUACUUUUUCCAGCUCCACAAUUUGUCUUUUUGAAGCCUUUCUGGUGAUCUAGCUUUCACAGCAGUAGGUUACAAUUGAGAAAAGCAAGGCCUUGACAAUGUGUAUCUUUCUUGUCAGUGCAAUUUUAAGGUCUGGUCUAGGCAAUUUUGUUUUUCCCCAGUUUUGUUUUUCCCCAAGUAACAAAUGUCUCUUUAUUUCCUGGCUGCAAAGCCCAGGAAGAUAAGAUGUAUUAACUUCCUCAACUUGUUCUUUACCUUUCUGCGCUGAUUUGGCAUUGCCCUUGGAUAUAGUUUUUCUAAUACUGAGCAGGAACUCUCUUCUUCCACCUUUAAUGACUUCCUUGUUUCCAGUUAUCGGAUGUUGGGAUCUAAUAUCUAUCACGGGCUGCUGUUGGAACACAGGGGAAUUGAACAUUUUCAUUCCCACACUAAAAAUAUUAUUUAAGAGUGUAAGUCCUUUUUAGAUGAAUUCAAUGGUUGUGGAAUUUCUUUCAGUUGAGUAAGCCAGAGGGCCAAGUGAUGUUGCUCUGAUCAGGGGCAGCAGUUACUAGCUUGGUGUAAUGGCCUCCAGGAAGAUUCAUGCAGUGAGUAUGAGCACUACAAAUAAAUGUAGCUGAAAUAUUACAUCAUGAUUUAUGAACAUUACGGAUGGGAAUGAGAAAGGGAAACUUUUAAGACAUAAACUGUUCCUUCAUAUGAUUAUACGUUAUGAAAAUGAAAAAAUAAAAAACUUUAUAUAAAAAAAAUAAUUGAAAAGAAAAAAAGACAUAAACUGUUACUGUUCCCAUCAUUACCUCCCUUUUAAAAAAAAAACAGUCUAAAAUUGCAUGAUCAACAUUCAUCCAUUUUGAUGGUGUAAUCUGGGCUACUUGUAGGCUAUAAAUGGGGAGCUGUUGGGUUAUAUAAGAUCUAUGGGGGGUCCCCCUCCAGUCAGACAGCAGAUUUUUCUUUUUAUUCUGAUCUUUCUACACAAUCUUCCCAUGUCACUGAACAGAAACCAUGUGACUUAAAUGUGUACCAUGAACAAAAUAUCAAUGAAAAGGAUAUGGUUACUGAUAAGUAUUUAGUCCCUUUAUCUCAGCUGAGGGAAAGCUUUAUUUUGGUAGAGUAUAAACCAAGUGUUAAAUCAAAACCAUGAGACUAAAAGCAUCACUGAAGGUUUUCUUUGCCAGGUAAAAAAAAAACUAUUCUGACAAUAUUUCAUGAUUAAAUGCAAUGGAUACUUUUAAGAUAAUUUUGCACUAAUGAAUUUUAUAUUUAAGUAUGAGAACAUUUGGUACCUAAAUCAAUCAAUCAAUCUUCAGAUCACUGCCUAAGCCAAUCAAUUGUUGAAAUUGAUCAAAACUUUCUGUAUCUUAUAAAAGGCAAAUAGCAGCUGUCAGCUCCGGCCAGCCCAGAGGCCUGGAGCUGCCAUUCAGGGUAGAAGACUGGGUCAGCUGCCAAGACUCACCAUCCCACCUCCACAAGCUGAAGAAGGUCCUGCUAACAAUCCAUGAUUAAUUGUCGGGUGGUUUUCGCUCUGGAUGUGAUGGGUGUGCGCAUGCAGGAAAACAAUGCGUGUAGGCAUGUGAAAAUGUGUGGGCAGUUUCUGAUAUAAGACGUGGGCAAUCUCUUGGGAGUCACAAUGGAAUCUAAAUGACAUUCUACUAGUAAGCUUAUGUGGAGGCUGAAAGAAUUUCCCAAAAUGACUGAAAGAUUUUUCCCAGAUGGAGAAUAUACAACAUGAAGAAAAUGCAUCUUCCAGACCAAUGGAUAAAAGCAGGAUAUGUAUUCAUUUAAGAACCUUAUUUUGUCAGUGAAAAACAAAAGUAAAAAAGAAAAAAACAUAAAUGCAUCUAGACCAACACAGAAAAGCAAGAUAUUUAUUCACUUUAAGAACUUUAUUUUGUCAUUAAAAAGCAAAAGUGAAAAAAACUGGAAAAGAAAGUAAGAAGCAAAAGGAUCUCAAGUUAGAAAAGGAUCUCUCUGGUAGAAAAUGUUUUCCAAAACUGCAGUUUAUUUUUGAAAGUAGUUUCUUCUCUGAAAAACGGGGGGAAAGGAAAACCCAAAGCCUCUCCCUAGGACAUCCCAGUUCAUUGCACCAUCCAGGAUUUGCCACAGUUACAGAUAGCCACACCCAAGCAGCAAACAGUAGGAGGGAGGGAACUGGGAAUUUCCCUGCUCCAGAUUAAAGUUUAUAUAUUAGAAACUCUUGAUGGCCCCAAUGAUUUUCCUACUAAAUGCAUGAUCUAUGUAAAAUAAUUGUUAUGAGAUUGGAGACCACAAUCAGCAAAGGCAGCGCUGUCUCCCAACAAAUGCUUAGAUCUUUUAGGCUGUGCCUUUCCAAUUCCCAGUGGUUCUGCAGCCCUUUCGUGAUAGCUUAGCUGCCCACUUAAAAUGCAGAAGAAAUCUUAAGCACCCAUGGAUUGAUGCUAGUAUAUCCAGUCAUAAACUGAACACAACUAAAUGCUAAGUUUAAGAAUGUGGGAAACAAUUCUGAUUUAUGAUCAUCCUUCUCCCAUCAAUUAAAACUGGAAAAAUAUGACCAAAUGCCAGUCAUUAUCAUCUCUUUUGCAGUUUAU